ensembl:lncRNA
AUGAUUCGCUAUCCCGCUACGAACUCCCGCGAACUGACUCAAAUGAUUCGCGAUCCCGCUACGAACUCCCGAACUGACUCAAAUGAUUCGCGAUCCCGCUACGAACUCCCAAAUGAUUUGCAAACCCGCUUUGAACUCCCAAAUGAAUGGCUUAGUAGCUUAGGCUUCCAGUCUGUUUUUGCUGUGCUGCUCACGCUCAAUUAAAGUGAAAGCACACUUUUGAUGGAAAAAUAAAUAUGAUUUUACUCAAAACUUGUUCAAAAUGCACAGAAUAAGCAUGUCAAGAGUUUUAACAACAACUAGUGUUUUAACAAUUAUGCCAGAAAAGAAAAUUAAGUAUAACAUAUGUAUUUACCCAUUUAAACUUUUUAAUUAAUCGUUUUGGGUGAAACUAUACUGUACUAUAGUAUGUUUUACCGCUCACGCUUGCGAUGUGAAACGGGUUAUCAGAAAGGGUUCAUUUGGGGUUCUAUAUACAACCAUAGGGUUCUUUACUCAACUCCAAAGACCUUUUAUGCUAAAAAGGUUCUAAAAUGACAAGAAAUAACCCUUUUGGCACAAAGGUUCUUUAGGCUAUUAUUCAUAUAUUACAUUAUUCUGCAGUAUUUUGUAUUUGUAAUUAAAUUAUUGUUUGUAGUAACUUAAUAUCACAUUUUAAUCAUGCUGAUUUUUGGAGAAAAACUGAAAUGGCACUCUUCGUGUGAUAUUGAUUAACUAGCUACAUACAAUGAUAUAAAUAAAUUUUCUAACCCCCAUAUCUUGAAUUUUGUGAUCAUUCACAUGCAUUCAUAAAUGCAUUUUAAUACACCGAAUAAUGCAGUGAAAGAACGCACUCAAAAUGCACACGCGCACUAGUAUGACUUCAUCAUGUAACUUUACAUUAGCCUAGAUGCGUGCACUUUUUAGGCACGAUUUGUUUAGUUUUUGAAUAUACUUCAUACUGUUAGGUACAUCAGUAAAAACAAAAAAUACAAGUUCACAUAUCACACCUAAACACGCUUGGAAAAACGUAAUUAGAACUAGCUACUAAAUUAGUUAAAAAUGCCUAUCCAUAUACAGCUAUGCUCCAAACUCCGAAAGCCCUGCCAAAUUAGGAGGGACCUGCUAUUUCAUGGCAGCCAUAGACUGUAUAAAAACAGCUAAUCAGUAUUGUAUAACUGGAAGUCAGGUGACAGCAAGCAAAUGUUCAAUGGUGGCGCCGGCGAUACCUAGUAAACCAUACUAGAAACAUAGUUAAUCAUCUUAAACCAUGCUAGAACAUUUUCAAACUUUCUGGCUAGGCUUUUUUCAAGCCAACUUAAAAUUUGUCUACAAACUUUACUAUAUAGUCAGGAUUGUUGUCGAUUAUUCUGAUUUCAGAACAACAAAUACCAAGUUUGUUUCAAAAGUUACAGAUGCUUUAUUAAACUAAGACAAGAAUGUAUUUAAGUACUGCAGAUGUAAAACUAACUUAAAUGAUUGCAAAAUAUGAUUUUAAAUAAAGAUCACUGAUGAGAUGUUCUUUUUUUUCUUUUAGACAGGACUUUUAUUAUUUAAAUUAAGUAUGUUUAUGUGUAUUUAAUAUGAUUACGUCAUACUAGGCAUUUCUUUAUGUAUAUUUAUAUACAUUUCAUUAUUAUAUAACAUGUACACUCAUUCAUAAAUUAUAUUUAUACACAUACAAAUUCAUAAUUUCAAGUGUAGCUUAAUGGGGGUUUUUGUAUUAUGUCUAUGAUCUUCAUGACUUGAUUUAUAUUUGAUAAACCUUUUUUAAUCAUAUAAUAUAAAAUAAUUACUAAUAGAAGUUUCUCUCUUGUCUAGUGUGUAGCAAUGAAACAGACAACACCACCAUUCAACAAUGUUUUUAUUUAAAUACAACAUUAGAAACAAUUAUACAUUUUACACACCUGAUUGCAACCCGUCUCUCUUGAAAUUUCACUUUUAGAACAAAAAUGAAUAGAAAGACUGAGCCUGUCUCCUUAUCAAUCUUAAGGCGAAGGACACGUGUAGACGUUCAGAAAAGACUUUUUUAGGACAGACAUGACUGAUAUGGACAUGACAGGAAUAGGGGCAGAAGACAGAGUUCUUUCUGAGAACACUGCCUCACCCUCUUCAGCUUAUCCAAAAUGAUAAUGGUGUGUACGCUAUUUACACUGAACUUUCCCGGCAGUCUCCAUUCUAUACCU